rnacentral:rRNA from 1 species
UCCUACGGGACGCAGCAGUGGGGAAUAUUGCACAAUGGGGGAAACCCUGAAGCAGCGACGCCGCGUGAGUGAAGAAGUAUUUCGGUAUGUAAAGCUCUAUCAGCAGGGAAGAAGAUGACGGUACCUGACUAAGAAGCCCCGGCUAACUACGUGCCAGCAGCCGCGGUAAUACGUAGGGGGCAAGCGUUAUCCGGAUUUACUGGGUGUAAAGGGAGCGUAGACGGCAGCGCAAGUCUGAAGUGAAAUCCCAUGGCUUAACCAUGGAACUGCUUUGGAAACUGUGCAGCUGGAGUGCAGGAGAGGUA